rnacentral:rRNA from 1 species
UAGGGAAUCUUCGGCAAUGGGCGCAAGCCUGAUGGAGCAACACCGCGUGAGUGAAGAAGGGUUUCGGCUCGUAAAGCUCUGUUGUUAAAGAAGAACACGUAUGAGAGUAACUGUUCAUACGUUGACGGUAUUUAACCAGAAAGUCACGGCUAACUACGUGCCAA